rnacentral:lncRNA from 1 species
GACAAUCAGUUGUUUGUCACUUAGCUAGCAAUGAGGUUUUGAAACUUUUUUUUGAAUUGGUUAUGUAACUACCUAACCCAUUCAACCGGUUAAAUGAGUGUUGUGCUAACAGUUUUUUGAAAACCUGUUUUAACUGUUUUAAACGAGAACAAAACUGAUUUGACUCUGUUAUGUUGCCUUAAACGACUAGAUUUCAAAUGCUAUAAAUAUA